UACGGAGGGUGCGAGCGUUGUCCGGAAUCACUGGGCGUAAAGGGCGCGUAGGCGGCCUGAUAAGUAGGGGGUGAAAUCCUGCGGCUUAACCGCAGGGCUGCCUUCUAAACUGUCAGGCUCGAGCACAGUAGAGGCAGGUGGAAUUCCCGGUGUAGCGGUGGAAUGCGUAGAGAUCGGGAAGAACAUCAGUGGCGAAGGCGGCCGGCUGGGCUGUUGCUGACGCUGAGGCGCGACAGCGUGGGGAGCAAACAGG
rnacentral:rRNA from 1 species